rnacentral:rRNA from 1 species
UUCCGGUUGAUCCUGCCAGAGGUCACUGCUAUCGGGGUUCGAUUAAGCCAUGCGAGUCGAGAGGGUUCGGCCCUCGGCGUACUGCUCAGUAACACGUGGAUAACCUGCCCUAGGGGAGGGGAUAACCCCGGGAAACUGGGGAUAAUACCCUAUAGGUUACAGAUGCUGGAAUGCCCUGUAACCAAAAGCUCCGGCGCCCUAGGAUGGAUCUGCGGCCGAUUAGGUUGUUGUUGGGGUAACGGCCCAACAAGCCCGUAAUCGGUACGGGUUGUGGGAGCAAGAGCCCGGAGUUGGAUUCUGAGACACGAAUCCAGGCCCUACGGGGCGCAGCAGGCGCGAAACCUUUACAAUGCGGGCAACCGUGAUAAGGGAACCUCGAGUGCCUGUAAACGCAGGCUGUUCAGGUGUUUAAAACGCACCUGGAGAAAGGGCCGGGCAAGACCGGUGCCAGCCGCCGCGGUAAUACCGGCGGCUCGAGUGGUGGCCGCUUUUAUUGGGCUUAAAGCGUUCGUAGCUGGGUU